ACGGUAACAGGAAGAAGCUUGCUUCUUUGCUGACGAGUGGCGGACGGGUGAGUAAUGUCUGGGAAACUGCCUGAUGGAGGGGGAUAACUACUGGAAACGGUAGCUAAUACCGCAUAACGUCGCAAGACCAAAGAGGGGGACCUUCGGGCCUCUUGCCAUCGGAUGUGCCCAGAUGGGAUUAGCUAGUAGGUGGGGUAACGGCUCACCUAGGCGACGAUCCCUAGCUGGUCUGAGAGGAUGACCAGCCACACUGGAACUGAGACACGGUCCAGACUCCUACGGGAGGCAGCAGUGGGGAAUAUUGCACAAUGGGCGCAAGCCUGAUGCAGCCAUGCCGCGUGUAUGAAGAAGGCCUUCGGGUUGUAAAGUACUUUCAGCGGGGAGGAAGGGAGUAAAGUUAAUACCUUUGCUCAUUGACGUUACCCGCAGAAGAAGCACCGGCUAACUCCGUGCCAGCAGCCGCGGUAAUACGGAGGGUGCAAGCGUUAAUCGGAAUUACUGGGCGUAAAGCGCACGCAGGCGGUUUGUUAAGUCAGAUGUGAAAUCCCCGGGCUCAACCUGGGAACUGCAUCUGAUACUGGCAAGCUUGAGUCUCGUAGAGGGGGGUAGAAUUCCAGGUGUAGCGGUGAAAUGCGUAGAGAUCUGGAGGAAUACCGGUGGCGAAGGCGGCCCCCUGGACGAAGACUGACGCUCAGGUG
rnacentral:rRNA from 1 species